rnacentral:lncRNA from 10 species
GUUAGGAUUUGGAUCCCAGUGGCCCUGGAGCGGCAGAAGGGCCGCGGCGAUAGGAAAGCAGCGAAGGAGGCCAGUGGCCGGAGUCUGCCCCAGCCCCCACCCGCGGGUAACCUUGGAGGCGCCCUCGGAGGUCUCACUCUGUUGCAGGUGCUGGAGUGCAAGUGGCAUGAUUUUGGCUAACUGCAACCUUGACCUCCCAGGCUCAAGGAAUUCUCCCACUUCACCCUCCGGAGUAACUGGGACUACAGGUGUGUGCCAUUAUGCCUGGCUAAUUUUUGUAUUUUUUGUAGAGGCAGGGUUCCCAAGGAUGGUCUCCAACUUCCGGGCUCACGGGAUCCGCCUGCCUCAGCCUUCCAAAGUGCUCAGAUUACAGGUGUGAGCCACCGCACCCAGCCUUUCUUUCCCAUUUAAAAACUAAAUUAAUUAAAAAGUAUUAAUUUGUUAUUUUUUCAUUAUUUCGUACUUUAAUAUUUAUUUUUCUCUUUUGAACAAAAGAAGAUUUUCACUGUUUCUGUUUAUUUUCUGGCC